CAGGGAUUCCCAGAGGAAAGCCAUUCAUCCAGAACCCUGGUUAAACUAAACACUCAGUUCUCAGAGAAGUCACCUAAGAUCUCAGCUCAAGGCUGACGCAUUUGUAAAGAUCUUUUGAAAUAAGGGCGUUUUCUCCUCUUUUCCUCCCCAGACCUCACAUACCAACGCUCAGCUGCUUCUUGCUCCCAAACCUUGCAAUCUCUUGCCUCCUCUCUUCAGAGAAAACGUCCUAAUGAAAGCCCCUGGAUACCCCCAGGAGUGACAGUCACACCAAGCCCGACCUCUGCUUUUCUAGAACCAGUGUUGCCCAAUGUCCAGGGCAAUGAAAUCAAAGCAGGACUCCAACUCCACAGACCAGAGUGUAUGCGUGUUCAUCACGGCCAGAGAUCUCCGUGGCAAAGGUCAGCAGCACCUGACGCUCACACCCGAGGACACCGAGGCAGAGCAGCCUCCAGUGGAUCUUCCCAGCUUUGUUCAGGUGGAAACGAUGUCAGUCACUCUCUACUUCACCGUGUGCUACCUUGAGACCUCACAUCAACUCAGCUCGGGAAGCCUUGCCUUUGCUAACUGCGAGGGUUCUCCAGUGGCUCAGCGUAAAGAAUCCACCUAUAAUGCAGGAGACACAGAAGAGACAAGUUCAAUCCCUGAGUCGGGAAGAUCCCUUGGAGGAGGACAUGGCAACUCACUUCAGUAUUCCUGACUAGAGAAUCCCAUGGACAGAGGAGCCUGGUGGGCUAUAGUCCAUGGGAUCGCAAAAAGUUGGACACAAUUGGAAUGACUGAGAACACACACAUUGUUAUUAACAAGCCAGUCGCAUCCUC
ensembl:lncRNA